UACGUAGGGGGCAAGCGUUGUCCGGAUUUAUUGGGCGUAAAGAGCUCGUAGGUGGUUCGGUAAGUCGGAUGUGAAAUCUCCAGGCUCAACCUGGAGGGGUCAUUCGAUACUGCUGUGACUAGAGUUCGGUAGGGGAGUGUGGAAUUCCUGGUGGAGCGGUGAAAUGCGCAGAUAUCAGGAGGAACACCGGUGGCGAAGGCGGAUCUCUGGGCCAUUACUGACGCUGAGGAGCGAAAGCGUGGGGAGCGAACAGG
rnacentral:rRNA from 1 species